rnacentral:rRNA from 1 species
GUCUCCUCCUAAAGAGUAACGGAGGAGCACGAAGGUUGGCUAAUCCUGGUCGGACAUCAGGAGGUUAGUGCAAUGGCAUAAGCCAGCUUGACUGCGAGCGUGACGGCGCGAGCAGGUGCGAAAGCAGGUCAUAGUGAUCCGGUGGUUCUGAAUGGAAGGGCCAUCGCUCAACGGAUAAAAGGUACUCCGGGGAUAACAGGCUGAUACCGCCCAAGAGUUCAUAUCGACGGCGGUGUUUGGCACCUCGAUGUCGGCUCAUCACAUCCUGGGGCUGAAGUAGGUCCCAAGGGUAUGGCUGUUCGCCAUUUAAAGUGGUACGCGAGCUGGGUUUAGAACGUCGUGAGACAGUUCGGUCCCUAUCUGCCGUGGGCGCUGGAGAACUGAGGGGGGCUGCUCCUAGUACGAGAGGACCGGAGUGGACGCAUCACUGGUGUUCGGGUUGUCAUGCCAAUGGCACUGCCCGGUAGCUAAAUGCGGAAGAGA